AUUCUUUUAGUAUUAACACAGUACAGUUGACUUCCAAUCAACUAGCUUCGGAUAGACCCGAAAAAGAAUA
rnacentral:tRNA from 1 species